rnacentral:rRNA from 1 species
AUGUCUUCCUCAAGCUCCCGCGCCACCUCACGGAUGCAGAGCCGGACGCGUGUGGACAUGUCUGUCUUCGUCUGUCCACGGUGCUGGGCGGGCGUUGAUCGGAGGGUUUCUCAGACACCGAGGAACCAGAAUCGUCCGUUCUACGUGUGCAGCGAGAAUGGGGUGACAUGCUUCUCUCUUUGGGUCGAUGCUCUGGCCAAGACUCUGAUGAAUGAACUGUAAGAAGAGCAUGAAGAAUGGUUGCGCAUGCUGCCACAAACGACAGUGGCCGCACCACGAGCUCUGGAAGAAGAGAUGGAGGGCGAAGAAGGUUAG